UUGGAAAUGAAGGACCUACUCAGAAU
rnacentral:piRNA from 1 species